rnacentral:rRNA from 1 species
AGUUCUCGUUGAAUCUCGGUGCUUGCACCGAGAUUCAACAUGGAACGAGUGGCGGACGGGUGAGUAACACGUGGGUAACCUGCCCUUAAGUGGGGGAUAACAUUUGGAAACAGAUGCUAAUACCGCAUAGAUCCAAGAACCGCAUGGUUCUUGGCUGAAAGAUGGCGUAAGCUAUCGCUUUUGGAUGGACCCGCGGCGUAUUAGCUAGUUGGUGAGGUAAUGGCUCACCAAGGCGAUGAUACGUAGCCGAACUGAGAGGUUGAUCGGCCACAUUGGGACUGAGACACGGCCCAAACUCCUACGGGAGGCAGCAGUAGGGAAUCUUCCACAAUGGACGCAAGUCUGAUGGAGCAACGCCGCGUGAGUGAAGAAGGCUUUCGGGUCGUAAAACUCUGUUGUUGGAGAAGAAUGGUCGGCAGAGUAACUGUUGUCGGCGUGACGGUAUCCAACCAGAAAGCCACGGCUAACUACGUGCCAGCAGCCGCGGUAAUACGUAGGUGGCAAGCGUUAUCCAGAUUUAUUGGGCGUAAAGCGAGCGCAGGCGGUUUUUUAAGUCUGAUGUGAAAGCCCUCGGCUUAACCGAGGAAGCGCAUCGGAAACUGGGAAACUUGAGUGCAGAAGAGGACAGUGGAACUCCAUGUGUAGCGGUGAAAUGCGUAGAUAUAUGGAAGAACACCAGUGGCGAAGGCGGCUGUCUGGUCUGUA